UCUCACCUGUCUCUGGUCAUAUUCAGUCUACAGGUGUGUCUCACCUGUCUCUGGUCAUAUUCAGUCUACAGGUGUGUCUCACCUGUCUCUGGUUAUAUUUUAGUCUACAGGUGUGUCUCACCUGUCUCUGGUCAUAUUCAGUCUACAGGUGUGUCUCACCUGUCUCUGGUUAUAUUUUAGUCUACAGGUGUGUCUUACCUGUCUCUGGUUAUAUUUUAGUCUACAGGUGUGUCUCACCUGUCUCUGGUCAUAUUCAGU